rnacentral:rRNA from 1 species
AUACGUAGGGUGCGAGCGUUGUCCGGAAUUACUGGGCGUAAAGAGCUCGUAGGUGGUUUGUCGCGUCGUCUGUGUAAUUCCGGGGCUUAACUCCGGGCGUGCAGGCGAUACGGGCAUAACUUGAGUACUGUAGGGGAGACUGGAAUUCCUGGUGUAGCGGUGAAAUGCGCAGAUAUCAGGAGGAACACCGGUGGCGAAGGCGGGUCUCUGGGCAGUAACGGACGCUGAGGAGCGAAAGCAUGGGUAGCGAACAGGAUUAGAUACCCUGGUAGUCCAUGCCGUAAACGGUGGGCGCUAGGUGUAGGGGUCUUCCACGACUUCUGUGCCGUAGCUAACGCAUUAAGCGCCCCGCCUGGGGAGUACGGCCGCAAGGUUGAAACUCAAAGGAAUUGACGGGG